GCCUGGCUGGCUCAAUCAGAAAAGCGUGAGACUCUUGAUCUCAGGGUUGUGAGUUGGAGCCCCCUGUUAGGUA
rfam:Felis catus isolate Cinnamon breed Abyssinian chromosome B4, whole genome shotgun sequence.